AGCUCAGUGAAUGGUCAACUCGCUGCUGUGUGCGCUGUGACCCUUCUGCCUCGCAUUUAGCUGUAUUGUGACACCCUCUUAACCAUUUCCUGUCUCCAUCCGAGGAAAGCAUUGCUAUUUAAGCGGCAGUAUCCCCUAUCUCAGGCCAGCUUGGGGGUGGGCAAGAGGGGAGGUCAAACCAGAUCGAGAAAUGCCGUCCCCUCCCCAGGACACAAUUACUUCUUAUUACUUGGCAUUUCCUCUUAAAACGGGUGUGGAACAUUACACUAGGCAGAAAUUCAAAAAUGAUUAAGAAGGAUGUUGAGCCUGAAAGUAUAAUUAUCCUGAUUAAAUCAUUCUCAUUCUCAUUAAUACCACCGAUCCCUAAAUACCAUUGCAGCAUGCUGGUUCCAUGUUUUGAAAUUCAAAUUGUUCAGCUGCCUUUAAAUUUUAUUUUUAUUAAACCUCCCCUCCACCAACAAAAAUACAAAAAAAAAAAAAAAAAAAAAGAACCAAAAAAAAAAAAAAAAACCAAAACCAAAACCAAAACCAAUUCUGCCUGGCAAAAUUGCAAAGGCAAACUUCCACAGUAAACACGCCCACAGG
rnacentral:lncRNA from 1 species